CGGCAGCUUUGGAAACACAUAACUAGGGCAGGGGUGUACCCAAAUGCAGGAACAAGGCAGGCUUUCCCGAAGGAAUGACUUUUAGGGUGAAAAUCCAAAGAUGAGAACAAAGCCAGGUGAGACAGGAAGGGAUAAAUGUCUCCAUCUAAAGGCACAGCACAUACCAAGGCCAUGGACUGUACAGUAUAUGUAAGAUCUGGUGGAUGUUCAAGUUUACUUGAACAGAUGUAAAAAACAAAUGCAGUAUGUUUUUUCAAAUUAUAGACCUUUCUCCAUCAUAAAGUUAACUCAGUAAAUCUUGGCAUUUUUUAAUGAAAUAAAAUAGAAAAUGCCAAAGUACACUGUAGUGUAGUUUCAGUUUUACACAUUAUUUCAGUUUAUAUUAUCUAUAAUUUGUAUAUAUAUUUACACUAUUUACAUUUUAUAUAUAGUAAACUCACAUUUCUAAUCCACAUACCUGAUUCUCCAAUUCUGGCAACACAGCACUAUUCAUCUGUUCCCCCUUUUUGCCUUUCAACAACCGGUUGAGGUCCUGGUAAAUAUCUUUUGUGGAA